rnacentral:rRNA from 1 species
GCAGCGUUGUACUUCCGAUGCAUCCGAUCGGGAUACUUUCCCAGCGAGUGGAAGUGCCCACGAGUAGUGGCGCUACUCAAGGGACCCGAGAAGGACAAGUGUGAGCCCUCCUCAUAUAGGGGAAUUUGCUUACUGCCAGUUUUUGGCAAGUUGCUUGAGGCAAUCAUGGUGAAUCGUGUAAGAGAAGUUCUUCCGGAAGGCUGCAGAUGGCAGUUCGGUUUUCGCCAAGGACGUUGUGUGGAGGAUGCUUGGAGACACGUGAAGAGCAGUGUUGACGCCAGUCCAGCGCAAUACGUGCUCGGCACAUUCGUGGACUUUAAAGGAGCAUUUGACAACGUCGAAUGGAGUGCUGUACUGCGCCGACUAGCCGACUUGGGAUGCCGGGAAAUAAGCUUGUGGCAGAGCUUUUUCGCCGGCCGAAGAGCAGUAAUCCGAAGCAGUUCCGGUGCAGUGAAUGUUCCGGUAACUAGAAGUUGCCCACAGGGGUCAAUCAGCUGCCCAUUUAUUUGGGACAUGCUGAUGGACGUACUGCUUCAGCGCCUCGAGCCGUAUUGCCUGCCUCUCAUCGAGGGAAAUUCCCGAGCCGUGCUAGAGGAAAAAGGAGCGCAACUGAUGUCCAUCGUUGAAACGUGGGGAGCGGAAAUAGGCGUUGCCGUUUCGACCAGCAAGACGGUAAUAAUGCUGCUCAAAGGUGCCUUGAGACGUGCGCCCACGGUAAGAUUCGCUGGAGAGAACCUGCCGUAUGUGCGUAGCUGUUGGUACCUUGGCAUCACGGUCAGUGAAGGAAUGAAAGUCCUCACGCACAUUAUCUUCGCCAGCGGAUGACCGGAGUCGUUGGAGUAUUGGUGCGUGUGCUACGAGUCGACUGGGGCUUCAGUCCUCGAGCCAGGCGGACCAUAUAUGCGGGACUCAUGGCACCUUGUGUGCUGUUAGGUGCCUCGGUAUGGUAUGACACCGCCGCACAGGUAGCUGCCAGGAGGCGACUGUCCGCGUGCCAUAGACUGAUCCUGCUUGGAUGUCUAUCGGUAUGCCAAACAGUGUCCACCGCGGCACUGCAGGUUCUUGCUGGAGCCCCCCGCUUGACUUGGCCGCUAAGAAAUUAGCGGUCAAUUACAAGCUGAAGCGUGGAUACCCGCUGGAGGAGAACGACUGGCUCUAUGGCGAGUACAUUGCGCGUCUAAGCCGGGAGCAAAAGAGAUUCGCCUAGAGGAAUGCUUGCUAUUGAGUUGGCAAAGCAGAUGGGAUGACGCACAGGUUCAUCCCGGACGUCACCCUUGUCUAUCGGGAUCCAAAUUUUAGUUUCUCGAUGAUGGCGUCUUUCUUGCUCACUGGGCACGGGUCGUUCAACGCAUUUCUGCAUGGGAGAGCCCUCAGCGAUACCACUGCUUGCGCAUGUGGUGAUCCAUACGAGAAUUGGGAGCACGUGUUGUGCGCCUGCCCCCUAUAUGCAGAUUUGCGAGACCUCGAUGGACUUUGAGUGCAGCGCGUUGGCGAGGACUGGACAUUUGAAAGAAUCCUGGAGGAUCGGGAGAGAACCCAACGUCUCCGCAGAAGAGGGGGUACUUAGCCUGACGCUUCGCCGUGUGGUUAGCGGGCGUGUGGUUGCCCGGCAAGCAAGCACUCGAAUUGCUACCGGGGUGGUUGCUAUGUACAUAGCUAUAGCUUCCAGACCGGGACGUUUUGUCUAGCGUAUCUGGACACAUCAUAUGCUCACUUGUGGGUGUAUAGGGUGCCGUGGUUGUAAUCUCUUCAAUGUGGAAUACGCCACGUAAAACAAAUUCGGAGGGAUCCGAUUCAUACACUGUCCCUAUCUACUAUCUAGCGAAACCACAUCCAAGGGAAAGGGCUUGGAAUAAUUAGCGGGGAAAGAAGACCCUUUUGAGCUUGACUCUAAUCUGGCAGUGUAAGGAGACAUAAGAGGUGUAGAAUAAGUGGGAGAUAUUAGACCGCGGUUUAUUAUCGUCAAUGAAAUACCACUGCUCUUAUUGUUUCCUUACUUACUUGAUUAAAUGGAACGUGUAUCAUUUCCUAGCCAUUAUACGGAUAUAUUUAUUAUAUCUUAUGGUAUUGGGAUUUGAUGCAAGCUUCUUGAUCAAAGAAUCACGAGUUUGUUAUAUAUUAUAAUCGCAAACAAAUUCUUUAAUAAAACGAUGCAUUUAUGUAGUUUUGAUUUGAAAAUUUGGUGUAACUCCAAUUACUCAGGUAUGAUCAAAUUCAAGGACAUUGCCAGGUAGGGAGUUUGACCUCCGUCAAAUAAUAACGGAGGUGUCCCAAGGCCAGCUCAGUGCGGACAGAAACCACACAUAGAGCAAAAGGGCAAAUGCUGACUUGAUCUCGGUGUUCAGUACACACAGGGACAGCAAAAGCUCGGCCUAUCGAUACUUUUGGUUUAAAGAGUUUUUAACAAGAGGUGUCAGAAAAAUUACCAUAGGGAUAACUGGCUUGUGGCGGCCAAGCGUUCAUAGCGACGUCGCUAUCAUUGUGAAGCAAAAUUCACCAAGUGUUGGAUUGUUCAUCCAUGCAAGGGAACGUGAGCUGGGUUUAGACCGUCGUGAGACAGGUUAGUUUUACCCUACUAAUACAAAACGUUGUUGCGACAACAUUCCUGCGUAGUACGAACCGCAGGUACGGACCAAUGGCACAAUACUUGUUCGAGCGAACAGUGGUAUGACGCUACGUACGUUGGAUUAUGCCUGAACGCCUCUAAAGGUUGGUAUCCCGUGCUGGACUGCAAAUGAUAAAUAAGGGGCAAAUUAGCAAUUGUAUGGCUUCUAAACCCAUUUUAAAGUUUAUAAUUUUACUUUAUAAACGACAAUGGAUGUGAUGACAAUGUAAUUUGUAACAUAGUAAAUGGGAGGAUC